rnacentral:rRNA from 3 species
UAGUACGCAAGGAAUGGUCUCAGCGAUGCUCGACUAUAUCGGCCCCAUCGACGUAAUCAACUUCUGGCUGCUGCAAAGAAGGAAAACAAAAGGUUUAGGGAUUAACAAGGUGCCACGAAAGUGGCGUGCCUUUUCAUAUUCAUGUGCCAUGUGGGUGCACAGCCCCUGGUAUAUUAUGGAAUUAACACUAGGGCUCAUCAUACUAAUAGUGUUAACAUAUGGAUUAAAAGCCCCGACUUUAAGAUUAGCUAUGCUACUUGCGGGGGCUGUGGGGGUUGCUGGGUUAUUAACUGAGCCCCAUCUACUAUGUUGGACACAGGCUAUUAAAAUGUUGGUGAUGCUAAGUGGAUUAGCUAUACUAUGUAUGCUGGACCAUCGAACAUCGCAUCGAUCAAGCUCUUUAUUGAUUUUAUUAGUGAUCUUGGGUAAUUUAUUACUUAUUGGGUCAACAAAUUUAAUUUCUAUAUAUUUAGCAUUAGAAAUGCAAACAUUAUGUAUGUUUAUCUUAGUGGCUUAUAAUAAAAACUCAUUGUUAUCGGCAGAAGCUGGACUUAAAUACUUUGUGUUAGGGGCACUAUCUUCGGGGUUAUUUCUGUUUGGCUGUGCUUUAAUUUAUGGCUCCACAGGAGAACUUGAACUUCAAUUUAUUCGUAUGAGUUUAGAGUCUUACGGCAUAGUAGCUGGUAAGUGUCUUAUUACUAUUU